rnacentral:rRNA from 1 species
CCUACGGGGGGCUGCAGUGGGGAAUAUUGGACAAUGGGCGAAAGCCUGAUCCAGCCAUGCCGCGUGUGUGAUGAAGGCCUUCGGGUUGUAAAGCACUUUCAGUGGGGAAGAAAGCCUUGGGGCUAAUACCCUCGAGGAAGGACAUCACCCACAGAAGAAGCACCGGCUAACUCCGUGCCAGCAGCCGCGGUAAUACGGAGGGUGCGAGCGUUAAUCGGAAUUACUGGGCGUAAAGCGCGCGUAGGCGGUCUGAUAAGCCGGUUGUGAAAGCCCCGGGCUCAACCUGGGAACGGCAUCCGGAACUGUCAGGCUAGAGUGCAGGAGAGGAAGGUAGAAUUCCCGGUGUAGCGGUGAAAUGCGUAGAGAUCGGGAGGAAUACCAGUGGCGAAGGCGGCCUUCUGGACUGACACUGACGCUGAGGUGCGAAAGCGUGGGUAGCAAACAGGAUUAGAUACCCCUGUAGUC